rnacentral:tRNA from 1 species
GGACCGCUGGCGCAACGGUAGCGCGUUCGACUCCAGCUCUGGUGUCAUCGAAAGGUUAUCCGUUCAAAUCGGGUGUGGUUCA